GUUCAUCAGUGAAUACUUCUUCAAACAUCGAUUCUAGGUAUUCAGGUCCUCCGGCAAAAGCUUUUUCUUCUUCUGAUAAAGUUUCCCCAAGUGCUGCAAAAGUGGCAAUUCCACGAACAAGAGAAAUGAGGUCAUCUGCUAGAAUU
ensembl:ncRNA E02C12.17 ncRNA